rnacentral:lncRNA from 1 species
GCAUUUGCUGUCUGUUUGUGUGUGCUUGACAGUUAUAGGCUCGAGUCCCCGACUCCCUAUUAACUUGUUAUGUUGUUGUGUGCUUGGAAGCUGAUGUAAGUCCAUCGAAUGGCAUUUGGGUUCCAGUGUGGGUGUGUUUAGGUUCGGAUGCUGACAUAAGUCCAGUGAUUGGCAGUCGGGCUCCACGUUUGCCUGUGUCUUGUUUGUUCGUGUGCGUG